rnacentral:lncRNA from 1 species
CCAGUGAGGCUUUAUGACACCCCAAAACCUGCUUGGUGCACAAGAUGAAACGCCUCUGUAAGACACCUCCUGAAAGAGCAAUCAUUGGAUCAAAGCAUACAGAGUCAUCUUUCAUUGCUUGCAACCAAGACCUCCAGUUAAGGAGCACACAGUUGAGGAGCACACUGUGUCAAUCAAAUAUUGUUUCAUUGCAUUAAAUUGCACUAAACCCUUCCAACUGGUGUGUGAUAGAGGCUUAUCAUCAUCAUUGUAGAGGCAAGAACACUAAGAUUGAAAAUCACAGUGAAGGGCUCAGUGUUUCCCGGCAAGACCAAGCCAGAAUGCAAAUUAGGUGGGAGCAGAGGAUUUAAACUAACAUCAGCAAAGAAGAAAAGCUUAAAUUCAGACUGGGAACAAAUGUGCAUUUGCCUGAGUGUGCCAUAAUCCUGGGAGAACAAUAGGAAAUAUCUUGAAUUAA